GACGUAGGGGGCCAGCGUUGUUCGGAAUUACUGGGUGUAAAGGGUUCGUAGGCGGUGUGGCAAGUCGGGAGUGAAAUCUCUGGGCUCAACCCAGAGUCUGCUUCCGAAACUGCUGUGCUUGAGUGUGGGAGAGGCGCGUGGAAUUGCAGGUGUAGCGGUGAAAUGCGCAGAUAUCAGGAAGAACACCCGUGGCUAAGGCGGCUCUCUAGUACGGUACUGACGCUGAGACGCGAAAGCGUGGGGAGCGAACAGG
rnacentral:rRNA from 1 species